UAGGGAAUUUUGGACAAUGGGCGCAAGCCUGAUCCAGCCAUGCCGCGUGCGGGAAGAAGGCCUUCGGGUUGUAAACCGCUUUUGUCAGGGAAGAAAUCUUCUGAGUUAAUACCUCGGGAGGAUGACGGUACCUGAAGAAUAAGCACCGGCUAACUACGUGCCAGCAGCCGCGGUAAUACGUAGGGUGCAAGCGUUAAUCGGAAUACUGGGCGUAAAGCGUGCGCAGGCGGUUUUGUAAGACAGAGGUGAAAUCCCCGGGCUCAACCUGGGAACUGCCUUUGUGACUGCAAGGCUUGAGUGCGGCAGAGGGGGAUGGAAUUCCGCGUGUAGCAGUGAAACGCGUAGAUAUGCGGAGGAACACCGAUGGCGAAGGCAAUCCCCUGGGCCUGCACUGACGCUCAUGCACGAAGCGUGGGGAGCAAACAGAUUAGAUACCCUGGUAGUCCACGCCCUAAACGAUGUCAACUGGUUGUUGGGAAGGUUCCUUCUCAGUAACGUAGCUAACGCGUGAAGUUG
rnacentral:rRNA from 1 species